UUUGGUUAAGUUAGAAAGGGCGCACGGUGGAUGCCUUGACACUAGGAGUCGAUGAAGGACGGGACUAACGCCGAUAUGCUUCGGGGAGCUGUAAGUAAGCUUUGAUCCGAAGAUUUCCGAAUGGGGAAACCCACCAUACGUAAUGGUAUGGUAUCCUUGCCUGAAUACAUAGGGUAAGGAAGACAGACCCAGGGAACUGAAACAUCUAAGUACCUGGAGGAAGAGAAAGCAAAUGCGAUUUCCUGAGUAGCGGCGAGCGAAACGGAACAUAGCCCAAACCAAGAGGCUUGCCUCUUGGGGUUGUAGGACAUUCUAUACGGAGUUACAAAGGAACGAGGUAGACGAAGCGACCUGGAAAGGUCCGUCGUAGAGGGUAACAACCCCGUAGUCGAAACUUCGUUCUCUCUUGAAUGUAUCCUGAGUACGGCGGAACACGUGAAAUUCCGUCGGAAUCUGGGAGGACCAUCUCCCAAGGCUAAAUACUCCCUAGUGAUCGAUAGUGAACCAGUACCGUGAGGGAAAGGUGAAAAGCACCCCGGAAGGGGAGUGAAAGAGAUCCUGAAACCGUGUGCCUACAAAUAGUCAGAGCCCGUUAAUGGGUGAUGGCGUGCCUUUUGUAGAAUGAACCGGCGAGUUACGAUCCCGUGCGAGGUUAAGCUGAAGAGGCGGAGCCGCAGCGAAAGCGAGUCUGAAUAGGGCGUUUAGUACGUGGUCGUAGACCCGAAACCAGGUGAUCUACCCAUGUCCAGGGUGAAGUUCAGGUAACACUGAAUGGAGGCCCGAACCCACGCACGUUGAAAAGUGCGGGGAUGAGGUGUGGGUAGCGGAGAAAUUCCAAUCGAACCUGGAGAUAGCUGGUUCUCCCCGAAAUAGCUUUAGGGCUAGCCUUAAGUGUAAGAGUCUUGGAGGUAGAGCACUGAUUGAACUAGGGGUCCUCAUCGGAUUACCGAAUUCAGUCAAACUCCGAAUGCCAAUGACUUAUCCUUAGGAGUCAGACUGCGAGUGAUAAGAUCCGUAGUCAAGAGGGAAACAGCCCAGAUCGCCAGCUAAGGUCCCAAAGUGUGUAUUAAGUGGAAAAGGAUGUGGAGUUGCUUAGACAACUAGGAUGUUGGCUUAGAAGCAGCCACCAUUUAAAGAGUGCGUAAUAGCUCACUAGUCGAGUGACUCUGCGCCGAAAAUGUACCGGGGCUAAAUACACCACCGAAGCUGCGAAUUGAUACCAAUGGUAUCAGUGGUAGGGGAGCGUUCUAAGUGCAGUGAAGUCAGACCGGAAGGACUGGUGGAGCGCUUAGAAGUGAGAAUGCCGGUAUGAGUAGCGAAAGACGGGUGAGAAUCCCGUCCACCGAAUGCCUAAGGUUUCCUGAGGAAGGCUCGUCCGCUCAGGGUUAGUCAGGACCUAAGCCGAGGCCGACAGGCGUAGGCGAUGGACAACAGGUUGAUAUUCCUGUACCACCUCUUUAUCGUUUGAGCAAUGGAGGGACGCAGAAGGAUAGAAGAAGCGUGCGAUUGGUUGUGCACGUCCAAGCAGUUAGGCUGAUAAGUAGGCAAAUCCGCUUAUCGUGAAGGCUGAGCUGUGAUGGGGAAGCUCCUUAUGGAGCGAAGUCUUUGAUUCCCCGCUGCCAAGAAAAGCUUCUAGCGAGAUAAAAGGUGCCUGUACCGCAAACCGACACAGGUAGGCGAGGAGAGAAUCCUAAGGUGUGCGAGAGAACUCUGGUUAAGGAACUCGGCAAAAUGACCCCGUAACUUCGGGAGAAGGGGUGCUUUCUUAACGGAAAGCCGCAGUGAAUAGGCCCAAGCGACUGUUUAGCAAAAACACAGGUCUCUGCGAAGCCGUAAGGCGAAGUAUAGGGGCUGACACCUGCCCGGUGCUGGAAGGUUAAGGAGAGGGGUUAGCGUAAGCGAAGCUCUGAACUGAAGCCCCAGUAAACGGCGGCCGUAACUAUAACGGUCCUAAGGUAGCGAAAUUCCUUGUCGGGUAAGUUCCGACCCGCACGAAAGGUGUAACGAUUUGGGCACUGUCUCAACCAGAGACUCGGUGAAAUUAUAGUACCUGUGAAGAUGCAGGUUACCCGCGACAGGACGGAAAGACCCCGUGGAGCUUUACUGUAGCCUGAUAUUGAAUUUUGGUACAGUUUGUACAGGAUAGGCGGGAGCCAUUGAAACCGGAGCGCUAGCUUCGG
rnacentral:rRNA from 1 species